UAACGUUUUGGAAAGAAACGGCUAAAUUAAUAAGUAAACGAGUAGUCCAAUUUCAAAAUCACACUAUUUACAAUGACAAAAAAUUAUGAAUAAUCAAUCGACAGUUACCAAACAGAUCAACCAUUCUCGAUCGUCACCUUUUUAUAACCAUUUUGGAACAAAGCUGCCGCGAGAUCUUUCUUUUGAAGCAUCACACCGAAGAAUUAAAUCUUCGCUUGGUAUCGCAAGGUGACCACAUAACUUGUGAAAUUGAGCCACCAAUACGAUGAAGAGCUGUACCACAAUCCAUAGCGACAUCCCAAACCUAUUAUUGUAAAAACGGUAGACUUCAACUAGAUGAAACGAGAUUUCAAAAUGUACAAAAUGUCCAAAGUGAGUAAAACGUUCAGGAAAAACGACAUCAACGGAAUUAUUCGACACAAUAAAACGCAUAAAAUACGAAAAACAUACUAGUAUUGAAUUUAAAGAAAUUUAAUAAACUUGAAACUAUCAAA